UCCCCUCACGGCUGAACAAGCUGAUCUUUUUAGUUCCUAGUUAGCAGGGCAACGAUGGCAGAGAGCGGUUACGAGUCGGUGAUAUGUGUAAAGCCGGAGGUGCACGUCUACCGCAUCCCGCCGAGGGCGACGAACCGGGGCUACAGGGCUGCAGACUGGAAGCUGGAUCAGCCGUCAUGGAGUGGGAGAAUGAGGAUAACAGCGAAGGGGAAGAUUGCAUACAUUAAACUGGAGGAUAAAACAUCAGGGGAGCUGUUUGCCCAGGCACCAGUAGAGCAGUACCCAGGGAUCUCGGUGGAGAGUGUCACUGACUCCAGCAGAUACUUUGUCGUUCGCAUCGAAGAUGGAAACGGACGGCACGCUUUUAUUGGGAUUGGAUUUGUGGAUCGAGGGGAUUCCUUCGACUUUAACGUAGCGCUUCAGGAUCAUUUCAAAUGGGUGCGGCAGGAGGGAGAGCUGGCCAAGCAAGCGCAGAGCGGGGAGAACGCUGGCCCCAAACUGGACCUCGGCUUCAAGGAGGGACAGACAAUCAAAAUCAACAUCGGGAAUAUAAAGAAAAAAGAAGAAAAAACAUCCAAGUCCCGACCAGCAGGCAGUGGCUUUUUACCCCCUCCCCCUGGUGGCAAGGGUCUUGGUAUGAUCCCACCUCCAGCGAGCCAACCCCCUGGACUCAUUCAGCCCCCUCUAUCUCAGCCGCCACUGACGUCUUCAGCGCCGCGAGUAAAAGCCAUACAAAAUGAUAUCCGUGAUUCCAAAGGAGACAAACAGAGACUACUUGAAACCAACCCGUUCAGACAUGCUUUUUGAUCGCAGCCCCCCAGCCCCCUCCAGCAGUGGGACUGAUUUGUGGGGUGACUUCGCUGCUGCCCCCAGCUCAGCUCCUGGUCAGACCCCUAAGACUCCAAACUGGGUCCAGUUUUAAUGGAUCCCAGAUUUCCAGGUUCCUCGCCACCUUCCCAGGAUGAGGGGCUCGUUUGCAGUGAGGACCAGCAUUUUUACUGCUGGUCGGCGCUGUGGGAUUGGGGAUCAGAUUUGGAGCACUUCUAUUCUGGUAUUGCUCCAGUUAAGUUGGUGUUCACUUUUGUGUUUUACAUGGUCCAGCCUAAACCGAAUCUGUAGUUCAAAGGAGAAGUUCACUUUCUACUAUAAAUCAAGGUAAAACGAGUCCUGGGGAAAAAGUUUAGGAAGAUAUCAUCUGGAAAAAUGCAUUGCAUAAUACAAAUAUAGACCAGCCAGUAUCACUUCGUGGAAAUGUUCCCUCUUCCAACUAAAACUUUCAAUUAAAAUGAAUGAUUACCAAGCUUUUCUGCAGUCAUUUAACCCAGGAUACUUUCAGUCUGGAUCAGCAAUUGCAUUUUAUAUAGAAAACCAACACAGAGCGAACUGAACCAGCUUUGGCCCCAGAGUGAACCGAACCAGCUUUGGCCCCAGAGUGAACCAGUCCCAAUGGAACAGACGUCUUUAUUUCUCAGAUACUGGGAGUCUCUCUGCCGGUAUCUUAAUCCUGUUUCCCGAUUCCAGGGAAUUCCUUUAGCUUUCAUUCCAUCCCCACGUCCCUUUCCCAAAAAAACUAAAACAAUUUUACACAUGGACAUUACGGCUGUGGAUUGCGUAUUGUAUGCUCUCAAAACAUGAUCUGUGCAAGUUCAAAAUCGAUCUGUUAUAUUGAAGCUUUGAGUCCACUAAAAAUAAUCCAUUCUAAUGGUGUGAGACAGCUGUGUAUUCUAAAUUGACAUUAAAUAUAUUCAUGUAUAUCACAAUGCAUUUUAUAUAUAUUUUUUAUCUUCCAGAAUAUUUUUUGAAAUAUGCUGAAAUAUCUAAAAGUCAUAUGAAAUGUGUUAAUGUGUUUUUCUAUUUUUCUCCCUUGUGCGAGUAGCUCUCCAAGGCAGCGAUCUUUGAGCAUCACAGCACCUUAUCACGACUGUGUAAAAUGACAGUGUGUGUGUUUGUCUUGAAAUGUAUUGCAAAGAGGCUUAGGAAGGUAUUACACUUUCUAAGCUGAAAUAGUACUGAGGAUGCAAUUUAGUAUUCCAGGAAUGUGCAGUCCCCAGGCCUAAAGUAAGAGAUCUGUGUAUUGUAGAAACUGGAAACUAUACAAAUAAGCAAAUUAGAGGAAAACAUUAUAGGGUUUUUUUGGUUCAAUUUCUACUAAUACCUCUAACUACAGUAAAGCGUGGUUUGGGAUAGGCGCCACAAUGUGGGCUUUCCCUAAUGCAGUUCAGUGUCUCGAAUGAGCACAUCCAGUCUUAUCCCUUGUUUCGUACACCUUGCUUGUUAUUUUAUGGGGUUGGUGGGGAUCUUUGAAUUUCUUCCAAACCCUGCAACCUUAGCCCUUGCAAGUGCCUUUACUUUAUUUCAAUAGUAAAGCUGUGUUUCUGAAACAGUCUAAUCAGCCAUUUUUUAAUUAAACUAUUCCCAGACCCAGUCGUCCCUGUUUUUAAUAAUGGAAUUGGUGAUCUAAAUACUGCUACUGUUAAAAUAGGCCUGCUUGCCAAAGUUAUGAGAAGUGGUGUGCUUUUGGGUGUCGUCAGAGUGUUGUGUGUUUGUUUUUUCUUAUUAAAAAAAGAAAAAAGUUAAAUGGGACUUAAGAGAGGAAUUCUGCAGUAAAUUGAAUUUGCAUAGCAGUACCAGUGUUCUGUCCUGUACAUGACUUUUAUGAAGCUAUUUUUUAACGUAAAAAAACCCAAAGCUUGCAGCUACUUCUGAGGCCCACCAUUUAAAAAGUAGAACAUUCUGCAUGUUCCAAAAAAUCACUUUUAUUCUACAUUUGAGGUGUGCAGCCCAAUGCUUAGUCGUAAAUAAGUGGUAGAUUAUAAAAUUACUAUGCACUGACCCAUUUACUUUUUUUAUUUGACUCUAAAUGGCCUGUUUAUCUAUUCAUCCACGCCAUUCAUUCCCAAAUUCCAGUGACAGAUUUCAGUUUUGUUUUUUUUGUGGCGCUGCAGCUGAUGGACCAGCCAACACACAGCGUUGCACUAGAUUAUGUUUUUAUGUAUAUAUGUACAAUCCACUGAGUGCGGUGUGCAGCAGCGGUAAUGUGGGAGCUUGUUGUAAAAACAAUUUGUGGUUCUUCAUGUGUUGAAUAUUUAGCAGGCCAGCGCACUGGUUAACAGCCAGAUCAGAGUACCUUCCUGUGAAUGGAGCUCUGCACUAUCUCCUGUGUCCACGGUGUUCUGGCUCACUUUGUAAUGAUGUUGCAUUUUGUCAUGUGACCGGGUCUUAUAAGGAAUGUACCUGUUUCACAUUUGCAGUUUUAUCAAGAUCUUCUGAACGGCUUACUCAGUUGGAAUAACAUUUGAUGUAGGCAUUCCUUAGCACAAGUUAUUGAGGGUACAAGACUUUUUGAAUGGGUUCUGGGCUAAUGACUUCUGAAGUUAGUACCCAAAUGUCAUUUUGCGUGGACAUGCUACAGCCUGCUUGUCUGAGAAACUACUUUUCCAUUAUUGAUGUAACUACAGAACUUGUUUUGAGAUGCUUGUCAUGCUAUGGUUGUGUGAUUGAAUGUGAAUGUGAAGGCAGGUCCACUAAUGCUUUUUAAAUGCUCCUAUAAUAUGUUUUUUGUAACACAUUGUUCGUGAAGUUGGGCUUACUGGGUUGGGUGGGUGGGUUUGGGGGCUGUCUUUCUUACUCAAGUGCCUUUCAGGGGGGUUUUGCAUGGACUGUUAAAACCAGCUGCUGAACAUGAUACCAUAGGUUGUAAAUAAAGAAUGUUGUCUUACC